rnacentral:rRNA from 1 species
GGGGAAUAUUGGGCAAUGGGCGAAAGCCUGACCCAGCAACGCCGCGUGAGGGAAGAAGGUUUUCGGAUUGUAAACCUCUGUCCUUGGGGACGAAAAAAAUAACGGUACCCAAGGAGGAAGCCCCGGCUAACUACGUGCCAGCAGCCGCGGUAAUACGUAGGGGGCGAGCGUUGUCCGGAAUUACUGGGCGUAAAGGGUGCGUAGGCGGUAUUUUAAGUCAGAUGUGAAAUCCCCGGGCUCAACCCGGGUAUUGCAUUUGAAACUGGGAUGCUAGAGUGCAGGAGAGGGAAGCGGAAUUCCUAGUGUAGCGGUGAAAUGCGUAGAUAUUAGGAGGAACACCAGUGGCGAAGGCGGCUUUCUGGACUGUAACUGACACUGAGGCACGAAAGCGUGGGGAGCAAAC